AAGAAGAAGACGACCUCGUAACCAUAGACAUUCUCGUAACAUCGUUGAUAACGAGGAGCGCGCACGAUUAUAACAAAUAGAAACAUACUGAGAUAAAUAUGACUGUUUAUUGAUCAGCGUUUGAAAUAUAUCGAGGACCAUCUUCACCCGCGUCAGGUCGUGAUGAGUGUCCCCUGCAUCCUGUCACCCAUGACCCGGAGCCACUGCCUCUGUGCUGCUGCUGGUCCUCUCUGCAGCCGCCUGCUGGGUGAUACAGCCUUCACAAGGAAAGCAAUGGACCAUCUAGAAAAGACAGCCA